UUGCUUUGGCAGUAAAUAUACUAAAACUGUAACAAUACAGAGAAGAUUAGUAGGGCCCCUGAUCAGGAAUGACCCACAAAUUUGUAAAGCAUUAGUAUUUUUA
ensembl:snRNA U6 U6 spliceosomal RNA